rnacentral:rRNA from 1 species
GCUAAUCUUCCUCAAGAGCUCACAUCGACGGGAAGGUUUGGC